rnacentral:rRNA from 1 species
AGUGAACGCUGGCGGUAGGCCUAACACAUGCAAGUCGAACGGCAGCACAGUAAGAGCUUGCUCUUACGGGUGGCGAGUGGCGGACGGGUGAGGAAUACAUCGGAAUCUACUUUUUCGUGGGGGAUAACGUAGGGAAACUUACGCUAAUACCGCAUACGACCUACGGGUGAAAGCAGGGGUUCUUCGGACCUUGCGCGAUUGAAUGAGCCGAUGUCGGAUUAGCUAGUUGGCGGGGUAAAGGCCCACCAAGGCGACGAUCCGUAGCUGGUCUGAGAGGAUGAUCGGCCACACUGGAACUGAGACACGGUCCAGACUCCUACGGGAGGCAGCAGUGGGGAAUAUUAGACAAUAGGCGCAAGCCUGAUCCAGCCAUACCGCGUGGGUGAAGAAGGCCUUCGGGUUGUAAAGCCCUUUUGUUGGGAAAGAAAAGCAGCAGGUUAAUACCCCGCUGUUCUGACGGUACCCAAAGAAUAAGCACCGGCUAACUUCGUG